rnacentral:rRNA from 1 species
AGAGUUUGAUCCUGGCUCAGGAUGAACGCUGGCGGCGUGCUUAACACAUGCAAGUCGAGCGAUGAAGUUUCCUUCGGGAAACGGAUUAGCGGCGGACGGGUGAGUAACACGUGGGUAACCUGCCUCAUAGAGUGGAAUAGCCUUCCGAAAGGAAGAUUAAUACCGUAUAACGUUGAAAGAUGGCAUCAUCAUUCAACCAAAGGAGUAAUCCGCUAUGAGAUGGACCCGCGGCGCAUUAGCUAGUUGGUGGGGUAACGGCCUACCAAGGCGACGAUGCGUAGCCGACCUGAGAGGGUGAUCGGCCACAUUGGGACUGAGACACGGCCCAGACUCCUACGGGAGGCAGCAGUGGGGAAUAUUGCACAAUGGGGGAAACCCUGAUGCAGCAACGCCGCGUGAGUGAUGAAGGUUUUCGGAUCGUAAAGCUCUGUCUUUGGGGAAGAUAAUGACGGUACCCAAGGAGGAAGCCACGGCUAACUUCGUGCCAGCAGCCGCGGUAAUACGUAGGUGGCGAGCGUUAUCCGGAUUUACUGGGCGUAAAGGGAGCGUAGGCGAAUGAUUAAGUGGGAUGUGAAAUACCCGGGCUCAACUUGGGUGCUGCAUUCCAAACUGGUUAUCUAGAGUGCAGGAGAGGAGAGUGGAAUUCCUAGUGUAGCGGUGGAAUGCGUAGAGAUUAGGAAGAACACCAGUGGCGAAGGCGACUCUCUGGACUGUAACUGACGCUGAGGCUCGAAAGCUGGGGGAGCGAACAGGAUUAGAUACCCUGGUAGUCCCAGCCGUAAACGAUGGACGCUAGGUGUGGGGGGACGAUCCCUCCGUGCCGCAGCCAACGCAUUAAGCGUCCCGCCUGGGGAGUACGGUCGCAAGAUUAAAACUCAAAGGAAUUGACGGGGACCCGCACAAGUAGCGGAGCAUGUGGUUUAAUUCGAAGCAACGCGAAGAACCUUACCUACACUUGACAUCCCUUGCAUUACUCUUAAUCGAGGAAAUCCCUUCGGGGACAAGGUGACAGGUGGUGCAUGGUUGUCGUCAGCUCGUGUCGUGAGAUGUUGGGUUAAGUCCCGCAACGAGCGCAACCCUUGUCGUUAGUUACUACCAUUAAGUUGAGGACUCUAGCGAGACUGCCUGGGUUAACCAGGAGGAAGGUGGGGAUGACGUCAAAUCAUCAUGCCCCUUAUGUGUCGGGCUACACACGUGCUACAAUGGCUGGUACAGAGAGAUGCAAUACCGCGAGGUGGAGCCAAACUUAAAAACCAGUCUCAGUUCGGAUUGUAGGCUGAAACUCGCCUACAUGAAGCUGGAGUUACUAGUAAUCGCGAAUCAGAAUGUCGCGGUGAAUACGUUCCCGGGUCUUGUACACACCGCCCGUCA